GAGAGCACGCGCGCGGCGCCC
rnacentral:misc_RNA from 1 species